CGCUAUCACUCCUACGGGAGGCAGCAGUAGGGAAUCUUCCACAAUGGACGAAAGUCUGAUGGAGCAACGCCGCGUGAGUGAAGAAGGGUUUCGGCUCGUAAAACUCUGUUGUUAAAGAAGAACAUAUCUGAGAGUAACUGUUCAGGUAUUGACGGUAUUUAACCAGAAAGCCACGGCUAACUACGUGCCAGCAGCCGCGGUAAUACGUAGGUGGCAAGCGUUGUCCGGAUUUAUUGGGCGUAAAGCGAGCGCAGGCGGUUUCUAAGUCUGAUGUGAAAGCCUUCGGCUUAACCGGGGAAGUGCAUCGGAAACUGGAUAACUUGAGUGCAGAAGAGGGUAGUGGAACUCCAUGUGUAGCGGUGGAAUGCGUAGAUAUAUGGAAGAACACCAGUGGCGAAGGCGGCUACCUGGUCUGCAACUGACGCUGAGACUCGAAAGCAUGGGUAGCGAACAGGAUUAGAUACCCUGGUAG
rnacentral:rRNA from 1 species